ensembl:lincRNA
GUUUCCUGUGUGUCCUUUCAGAGCUCCUUUUGCUUUCAAAAGCAAAUACAGAUAGGGGCAGCUUCUGAAUGGAUGGCCAAGUGACUCCGGAGCUUCUGUGCUGUGUGAGGACUGGGCUUUCUAUCCCUGUUCACCCUCAGGCUGCAGCCACCGCACGGGAGGAGAUGGUUCAGAUCGCACCUCUACCCUGACUCAGCACACACAGCUGUACUGUCAGGGGCUGCAAACCAACAUCUCUCAAGACCUUCCUGGAAGCUGCAGCUGGACUCCCUUUGUACUCCAGAGGAGCAUCCUGGGAGGCCCAGGUCGGAGCUCCUGGAGGGUCCCUGGGCUCUGGGGGACAGAAGAACAGGCGAGCUGGAAGCUGUUUUGGGGAGCAGGAGGUAUGAGGGCAGUUGGAGGGUGGCACAAGGAUAAGUCUCUUGUUUCUCUCUUUUCACCAAUGGCACUUGGCAGGGAGGAAGAAUCUAAAUGUGGCUCGCUGGGCUCUGUGGAUCUGGCACUGGAACAGCUGUCCAGGCUUUGGGGCCCCCGAUACCCCUACUGCUCUCCCUCAGGCCCCGGAUCUGUUUGGGCCCCCAGUGGGCGACCGCUCUGUGCUGGUCCACCACAGGGAAAUAUUCUGG